GUUAAUGACUGAAUGCUAUGUUCCUAAUGAAAGUAUGCCCUCUGGGUUUUCCCCUGCUUUGGUGUGUGUCCCCCUUCUUGCAUUUAUUUAUUUUGUGCCACAUGAUGUUUGUUGUCUGCUAUUUCCCUCUGCAUUUGUUCGAGUUGGUUGCUUCCCACUGCCACUUUUCGUACCUUCUUAGCUGCAUGUAAAUAACUUUGUUUGAGUAACGGUUGCCCAACUUCUUAAAUGCCAAUGUGUGUUUAAUAUCACAUUUAAUUAUCAUGUUUUCCAUCUACUCCACUGCAGAAUCUACUAGCUUGCUACUGAAGCUUCUAUUAUCCUAUUUCAGAAAUUGAACGAGUACGGAGAAAGUAGCGUAGGGGAUGUCAUUUUAAUUACUUGCUAAAACUGUAUGAGGACUGACUGAGUUGUUUUUGAUCUAUUCAGAAAAUUUAUAGAUUGGAUUAGACUCAUAUGCUUAAGCCAAGCUCGGGUUCAAGUGCGCUUCUCAUCUAAACAAGAGUGCCAUUGAUGUUGUCAAAAUUUAGAACUCACAAGGAGGAGGUCGUUGGGGUCAUCUCCAAUGGUGUGGAGCUCCAUCCUUUGCGCUGAACCGUUCUGGUUUGCCGUUGUUUCUGCAGCCUGUGACAUCGGCUGAGAUGGUUCCUAAUUUCCAAGUUAAUUCAGACAUCUCCACAGAAGUGAAGGAAGAGAGCAAAAUAGCAAAACCUGAGGAUAAUCUAUCUACUAGGUGAGCAUCUAUGAGCCUAUGACCUCUAAUCACCAUAUUUGUUUUGGAAAAUUUACUGAAUUAUGAAUGUAUAUGUAAUCUUCUAAAAGAUUCCUUGACAUUACUAGCAUGUGUCUUUAAUCUUUGUGGAGGCACGCAAGGAUCCUUUUUUAUCAAUUAAGUACAGCAAAAAGAAUCACUACACAUGUUUAGUAAGUUAUGAUCCUACAAAUUAUGUUUAUCUAGGAUUAGUAAUCAGAUAAGUACUGAAUUCAUGGGAGUACUAAUCCAUAAGAGUGUUGAUCCAGUGCUGCAAACACCGCAUCAGUGUCGCUGGAUUGCCUUGGGCACGAGCUCCGAGUCGG